CGUUGGCUAAAUCAAUAUAUAUUUAAAAUCCCAGACACGUGUUUUUACUUUUAUUAUAUAAUAUUCACAAUCUGGAUUAUUACAUUUCACUUAUAUAACUAUAUAUAUAUAUUAACAAAAAACAGCACACGGAUUAAUGAUUGUAUUAAAUAAAUCAUGAAAGAAAACAAUUUCGAUGAGAAAGUGAGGUUCGCUUGAUGUAUGUCGACUAGAGGCGCUUAAAACUCUAUUUCCGCGUUUCUAAAAAGAUAAACAAAAAAAUUGUGAUAACAAAGCAAUGGCUGUCUAUGCAUAAGAAGAACGUUUCAAGUUCAUGUUGAGAUGUAUACCACGUUGUUCGGCAAUAAUAUUGAAAGAGGCCGAACUAAAGAAAUCUGGAAGCCUGGAGUCGAAGCGUUCGGAAAGACCUGAAGAAGCUCGGUGUCAAAAGGGUGACGUCGCCUCGUUUUUCUCCUGACAGAACUAUAUGACAGAACUUGCAUUCACAUCAAUCACAAGAUGCCGCAGCGAAGAUUAUUCGAGCGAAAGAGUAACUUGAUUUAGAAACGUAAAGCAUGCGUUUGUUAAACUACUGCACUAUAAUCUCUUUCCUUAUGCGGCAAGUCAUUUCACAACAUUUUGGUACGGCAUAACUUCUUAAAUUAGUUUGCUUCCAAUUCGAAUUCGGAUAGAUAAUAUUUAUUAAGAACUAUGUAUGCAUCUUUUAAUCGGAAAAAAAAUAAGUUUCGGAUAAACGAACAUACUAAUAUAGUAAAAUUAAUUUGGAUAAAGUUUGUAUUGCACUGGAUGACCACAUAUUUGUAAACUGAUCCCUUAUUGAAUCGCUACUAUGAUUGGUGUGUGGAUGUUACUUCGCAUGUCAGGUAUGUAAUAUUGCAAUUAUAGGAAAGUUCAGAAAUAUGUUACUAAACUUCAAUAGGUUUGCCGAUGUUUAUUAGGUUAAAUUACCCAUGGGUGAUUAGCAUGUAGUCCGUUGUCGAGAGCAUAAAACGGUCAGAUUAGCGGUAUAUCUUUUCAAUAGAACGUUGGAACACUAAUUACGGCUUCUUGUAUUGCACACACUGAUUAUGAUUAUUUGUUAACACUCUCUGAUUCAUUUUGUAAAAUAUAUAGUUUUGUUAAUGUGUACAUGUUGAAUUUAAAACGUAUGGCAUGGUAGUUUUAAUUU